AACGAACGCUGGCGGCAUGCCUAACACAUGCAAGUCGAACGAAGGCUUCGGCCUUAGUGGCGCACGGGUGAGUAACGCGUGGGAAACUGCCUAUUGGUGGGGAAUAACGAAGGGAAACUGUCGCUAAUACCGCAUAAGCCCUUCGGGGGAAAGAUUUAUCGCCGCUAGAUGUGCCCGCGCCCGAUUAGCGAGUUUGUGAGGUAAUGGCUCACCAAGGCGACGAUCGGUAGCUGGUCUGUGGGGAUGAUCAGCCACACUGGGACUGAGACACGGCCCAGACUCCUACGGGAGGCAGCAGUGGGGAAUAUUGGACAAUGGGCGAAAGCCUGAUCCAGCAAUGCCGCGUGAGUGAUGAAGGCCUUAGGGUUGUAAAGCUCUUUCGGGUGGGACGAUGAUGACGGUACCACCAGAAGAAGCCCCGGCUAACUUCGUGCCAGCCGCCGCAGUAA
rnacentral:rRNA from 1 species